AAACUAGAUUAGAUACCCUAUUAUGCUUAGCCGUAAACCUAAAUAAUUAAUAAACAAAAUUAUUCGCCAGAGUACUACAAGCAACAGCUUAAAACUCAAAGGACUUGGCGGUGCUUUAUAUCCCUCUAGAGGAGCCUGUUCUAUAAUCGAUAAACCCCGAUAAACCUCACCACUUCUUGCUAAUUCAACUUAUAUACCGCCAUCCUCAGCAAACCCUGUCAAGGCCUCAAAGUAAGCAAAAACACAUACAUAAAAACGUUAGGUCAAGGUGUAGUCUAUGAAGUGGAAAGAAAUGGGCUACAUUUUCUAACAUAAGAACAACAUCCCAACAAAAGCCUUUAUGAAACUAAAAGCCAAAGGAGGAUUUAGCAGUAAAUUAAGAAUAGAGAGCUUAAUUCAAUUGGGCCAUGAAGCACGCACACAUCGCCCGUCGCUCUU
rnacentral:rRNA from 1 species